rnacentral:rRNA from 1 species
GUGGGGAAUUUUGGACAAUGGGCGAAAGCCUGAUCCAGCCAUGCCGCGUGCGGGAAGAAGGCCUUCGGGUUGUAAACCGCUUUUGUCAGGGAAGAAACGUCGCAAGCUAAUACCUCGCGAUAAUGACGGUACCUGAAGAAUAAGCACCGGCUAACUACGUGCCAGCAGCCGCGGUAAUACGUAGGGUGCGAGCGUUAAUCGGAAUUACUGGGCGUAAAGCGUGCGCAGGCGGUUGUGCAAGACAGAUGUGAAAUCCCCGAGCUUAACUUGGGAACUGCAUUUGUGACUGCACGGCUUGAGUGCGGCAGAGGGGGAUGGAAUUCCGCGUGUAGCAGUGAAAUGCGUAGAUAUGCGGAGGAACACCGAUGGCGAAGGCAAUCCCCUGGGCCUGCACUGACGCUCAUGCACGAAAGCGUGGGGAGCAAACAGGAUUAGAAACCCCAGUAGUCC